rnacentral:tRNA from 1 species
GGAAGUGUGGCCGAGCGGUUUAAGGCACUAGUCUUGAAAACUAGCGAGGGUUUAAAGCCUCCGUGAGUUCGAAUCUCACCGCUUCCGCCA